UGCUCCUGACAAACCUAUGUCAGCUGUUAUGCAUCUCCUCAUUAGCUUGCUAGCCGAUUGCUCCCAGCUGUUUCCAGGGAAGGCUGAUAUACCCCUUCUGCUCUAGCAGAGGCUCUUUUUGGAAACAGGACCUUGUUUGCCCUUUCCCUGUGAGCCAGGACCUUGACUAUUCUUCAGCAGAGCACCAGUCACCUUUUGCUACCGUCACUUCAUAACUGAAUUCUUGAGUUCAAGUGCGAGAGUUCUGAUGGUACCUCUGGGAAUGCUGGGCUAAUUCUAUUUCAGUGGAGGAGCAAAUCGGUGCCGGUCAUUUCAUGGACAAAAUAAAACACAACGGAGAUGAUGCCAUUUCAGUCUUAAUGAACGUCGUGGUGUUUUUAACCAACCUUGGUCUUGGCAUGUAAGAAGAGCCAGUCCUAGGAAAAGGUGCUCUGCACCUGCCUAAAUAUUAUCUUAACAAGCUGCAAAUGCAUGUGAAGAGGAAAAUUAACAUGAGGAAAAAAUACGAAAAACAAUGGUAUUUCCAUGAGGAAUCCUGAAAUAUUAGAUAAUGAUGGAUCUUGUGCAUUAAAUGGCGGCGCUCAUGAUACCUGUCCUGUCAAAGCCUAUUCUGUGUUGUGAAAGACUUCUAAAGGACCCGGAUCUCUGAAGGAGUGAGGAUGCUCAAUGUCCAUCGUGUCCUGUGCCCCCUCCCCGGGACCUGGGAUUAGAAACAUGUCCCCCAGGAGCUGUGACAAAUGCUGUUCGUUAACUCAUAUCUAGAAAAUGCACAACUCUUCACUGACAGCUCUAUGAGGAAAGUGCUGCAGAUCGUCUCUGCCUUCAGGCAGUGGAGAUGUGGUGUACCAAGACUGAAACAGAUUACAGAAAAAAUGGAAAACAAUUAACAAAAAGGUAAAAUGCUAUUUAUAAGAAUUCUAGUGUAACUAUAUCCCACUGAGUCUGAACAGCACAGGAUUGGAUCUCUAUAAAGAGCUUUUUCUUCUAAUUAGAUAUUGUUUAGAUGUUUUAAGUCCUUAUUGCAUGUGUCACAAACAAGAUUUGUAUAACAAAAUAACCAUUAUUUUUGUAAAUUACAGGCUUUGGGAACCCAGUUUUGCACUUUUGCUACUUUUUUUUUUCUUUCUGCUCUAAAAGGAAUUUUAAAUCGUAGCUCUUCACCAGAUGUGAGUACAGAUGCAAUAGUUGGAGGCAAUCCUUGGGGGGUCAUUCUCAUCCCCCGUUCGAGCGGUGUGGGUCUGGGCACAAUGGGAGGCUGUUCAUAUUUCAUAUGCGAACAAACACGACACAUCCACCAUGAGAGCAGCCCAGACAUUGCCCAGAGGGACCUCUCAAGUUGCAGAUUUUUCCCCUCUAAGAUUGCAAUUGCAUUAUUGUUAAUAAACUCUCCUUGCAAAUCUACUCUGAAAGAAGGCUGGAGUUUCAUUCAUCAGUGCCGAUGGCUUAAGGCAGCGCUGCUUUUU